rnacentral:lncRNA from 7 species
GCACACUCACACAGCCCUUUGCUCGAAUGCUGAUGCCAAAGCACCGUUAAAAGGGGCUCACGUGGCCCAACACCCAUCUCAAGACAGGCGCAGGAUCACAGCUCUCUUGUCUGGUCACAGACAAAAUGUGACCCAGAUGCAUAUAAAGCACCACCAGCAGCCUCCAAAAAGAGAUCCUUGAAACUAAGCUGCGUGCCCUUUGAGGCCAGCAGAACAGAGGUCUUUUGGAUCUGGCCCUUUGCACUGGAGGGUAUCCCAGAACCAAUUAAUCACCAUUCCAAGUGCCUUUGUGAUGGAAUAGGGUAAAGAGACAUCCCUAAGGAAGUGCUGAAAUUGCUCCUUGCUCAUUGAAGUCCUGCACAGCACAAGCUAUGAGAGCCCUUCUCCUCCUGCACCUGCAGGAACCUCGCAGGGCAGCCAAACACAGCACAACCAUGUCCCACUGGAGCCAAGCAUGCCUCUACCUUUGAAACAAUAAAUGUGCGCGUACCUCCAUUUUUCAAAACAAUAUAUAGUCCAGAUCUCACGCUACAGUAAAUCAAGGAGGUCUUAUUGACAACAGAGGAGUUCUGCUGAUUUACUGAUUUGCGUGAGCUGAAUGUUUGCUCCAAUACUGGUGCGGGAUUAUUUCUACUUGAGAGAUACCUUGCAGAAGAAAACUUUUCAUUGAGUAUGUCGAUGGCUCUCAGCUCUACAAAAUUAACAGCUCCUCAAAUGAACACCACCAGCAGCAUGUGUUUUGGGUACCACACAUCCUGAAGAUACCCUAGUGAAGAUUCUUCCCCGUAGAGACCAUCUGUGUUUUGCAAAGCCUGGAGAGGUCGCCAGUGCUGUGGCUCUGCUGAUGGAGCACAGAUUCAAGAAAUUAACCUAAUUCAUAUUCAGUGAUUUCUGCAAAUUACCCAGAGCCUUCUGUUUGCUUGGGGAGCUCCUGGAGAAUGCUGCCUUCCUCCAGUGCUGCAGAAGCAGGUGGGCACCCCAGCAACACUUCAGUGAGAGGCAGCAGCCACCUCUGCAAACAUCUGCACACCUCUGCAAGUGGCCACUGGACCCAGAGCCAGAACAAAACCAGCAGACCUCUGUUUGCAGGCAAGAAGAGACCAAACUCUCUUCAGGCCAAUGGCCUCACCACCACUAGCCAACGAUGUUCAUUUCUGACAAUCUUUGCAGCUGUACACUUGGCUUCCUACCCAUUCCCUUCCUACAAAGGCAGGUUUUUUUCUUCUCCACUUUUUUUGUACUUGUUAGAUCUUGCUAGAUCUCAUCUCUGGUAAAUGAUGUAUCUUACCAGAGGUAAACAGCACGUUCACAUUAGCGUGGGUUAAGGGAGAUUAUUAGUAUACAGCUUCACCACAUUUCCUGUUCUCCCUAAGACAUUCACGUAGAGAUAAAUUAAAUGGUACCUCUAAUGGAGAAUUACUACGUGCAAAAUUACAAACUUUAGUUUCAGUAAUAGCACAUUCAGGCAAUAUUUACAUGAUAAAUAAGAAAAACCUCUGACAGAAGAGUCUUUCAUGCACUUGUCUGUUUUUAUCACUCCGCUCACAGUUUUAUCUCACAUUUAAUCAUAUUGCCCUUCAUCUGCCAUCCAGUAGCCAAAGUACUAAAAUAGCCUUAAUCUCUCUGUAUCUCAUUACAGUGUGAGACUAUGGUUUUGCAAAACUUUCUGUUAAGUAUGAUAUAUCUCAGCUGCAUAAAAUAUAUGCCCAAAAUGCGUACAGUACAUUGAAUAGUACUAUAAAUUCUAGGACCAUCUUAAAAGCAAAAGGCACUGGAUAAAAUGAUGCAGAAAAUACAGACUGAUGGGUAAGUAAAGUGUUAUUAAUAGAUCAUAAAGGCAAAUGAAAAAUAUAAAAUGCAAUUUCAUUUAAUAACGAACAUAAAGAAAUACACAUCAGUGGGUCUAAUGGCAUAAGAUUUACCUCAAAGAUUGUAUCCCUCCUUCAUGAGAGCUUACAAUAAAAGGUUCCCUGACAUCUGUUUAGGGCAAA